rnacentral:misc_RNA from 1 species
GAAAUGCGAUAAGUAGUGUGAAUUGCAGAAUUCAGUGAAUCAUCGAAUCUUUGAACGCACAUUGCGCCCCUUGGUAUUCCAUGGGGCAUGCCUGUUCGAGCGUCAUCUACACCCUCAAGCUCUGCUUGGUGUUGGGCGUCUGUCCCACCUACGUGCGCGGACUCGCCCCAAAUUCAUUGGCAGCGGUCCUUGCCUCCUCUCGCGCAGCACAUUGCGCUUCUCGAGGUGCGCGGCCCGCGUCCACGAAGCAACAUUACCGUCUUUGACCUCGGAUCAGGUAGGGAUACCCGCUGAACUUAAGC